rnacentral:rRNA from 1 species
CCCAGACUCCUACGGGAGGCAGCAGUGGGGAAUAUUGCACAAUGGGGGAAACCCUGAUGCAGCGACGCCGCGUGAGUGAGGAAGUAUUUCGGUAUGUAAAGCUCUAUCAGCAGGGAAGAAAAUGACGGUACCUGACUAAGAAGCCCCGGCUAACUACGUGCCAGCAGCCGCGGUAAUACGUAGGGGGCGAGCGUUAUCCGGAUUCACUGGGUGUAAAGGGAGCGUAGACGGCCAUGCAAGCCAGGGGUGAAAGCCCGGGGCCCAACCCCGGGACUGCCCUUGGAACUGCAUGGCUGGAGUGCGGGAGGGGCAGGCGGAAUUCCUGGUGUAGCGGUGAAAUGCGUAGAUAUCAGGAGGAACACCGGCGGCGAAGGCGGCCUGCUGGACCGCGACUGACGUUGAGGCUCGAAAGCGUGGGGAGCAAACAGGAUUAGAUACCCCGUA